rnacentral:rRNA from 1 species
CCUACGGGAGGCUGCAGUGGGGAAUAUUGGGCAAUGGGCGCAAGCCUGACCCAGCAACGCCGCGUGAAGGAAGAAGGCUUUCGGGUUGUAAACUUCUUGUGUCAGGGAAGAGUAGAAGACGGUACCUGAAGAAAAAGCAUCGGCUAACUCCGUGCCAGCAGCCGCGGUAAUACGGAGGAUGCGAGCGUUAUCCGGAUUUAUUGGGUUUAAAGGGUGCGCAGGCGGCCUGGUAAGUCAGCGGUAAAAGCCCGGGGCUCAACCCCGGCCCGCCGUUGAAACUGGCAUUCGCGAGUUGGAGAGAAGUAUGCGGAAUGCGCGGUGUAGCGGUGAAAUGCAUAGAUAUCGCGCAGAACUCCGAUUGCGAAGGCAGCAGGCCGGCUCCACACUGACGCUGAGGCACGAAAGCGUGGGUAUCGAACAGGAUUAGAUACCCCAGUAGUC